UUUUCUUCGGAAAUGAAGAUUUUGUGACUGAGUGGCGGACGGGUGAGUAACGCGUGGGUAACCUGCCUCAUACAGGGGGAUAACAGUUGGAAACGACUGCUAAUACCGCAUAAGCGCACGGUAUCGCAUGGUACAGUGUGAAAAACUCCGGUGGUAUGAGAUGGACCCGCGUCUGAUUAGCCAGUUGGUGGGGUAACGGCCUACCAAAGCAACGAUCAGUAGCCGACCUGAGAGGGUGACCGGCCACAUUGGGACUGAGACACGGCCCAAACUCCUACGGGAGGCAGCAGUGGGGAAUAUUGCACAAUG
rnacentral:rRNA from 1 species